ACAUCUAAAACAACUUCUUGCAUGUGUAAAUGUGAUAAUAAACAACUUAUAGAUUGUGAGAAUUAGAGUGAGUAUUUUGUUGUGAUUGCAUGUCUAUAAGCCCCAACAUAUUCUAUAUAUAUUUUUGGCUAUAUGUGCACUAAAAAGAAAAAAGCAACUAAAAGUGCGCAAAUUGUUGUGACCAAAACAAAGACUUUUAUGAUUGAAAUACAAACU
rnacentral:lncRNA from 1 species